rnacentral:lncRNA from 1 species
AUGGUAACUAGCAAAGUGUACUGUUUUGAAAUCUGCUUGGAUCUGGUUCUUAGUUCUCUUUUAACUGAGAAACCAAAGACAAUUUUAAAAAAAAGUUAUUUUGUUAAGAGAGAGAGAGAGGUCACUUCAGCAUGGAGGAUCAAACAGCUAGCCUCCUCCAGCUCUGAAAGAGUUAGAUUUCACUCUCAAGUUGUGGCAUCAUCAUUAACUCUGAAAAAUGUCACACUCCAUUUGUACAAAGAAAAUUUCAUGAGCAGUCAUUGUGAGGACAAAGUUGAAACAGGCUGGAUCCUAAAAUCUAACUGUUUAUUUCACACGGUAUCAAAGUCAUUCAUCUUGUUCCUUAGGAGGCAAAUUCACAAUGGUAGGGACCUCAAACCACAAACAGAUCUAUUUUGUUGCACCUUGCUUGAAUCAGGAUCAGAGUGGGUUGAUAAGAAAAUGUCACCUUUAUUGAGUAUAGCCCAAUUAUGAUGAUUUUGCUAUUUAGUCAUUGUUAAGCUGGGAACAUCCAAAAUCAGCAUUUCUCAAACUGUGAGGCUUGAAUCUUGUUCAGUUGCUCAGACAAGCCACUGGAAAACGGGGGAUAGGAUUGGGCCAGAGAAAAGGACUUCUUCCCCCUCCCAUUAUGACUUGACAAAACUAUAGCUCCUAGUAUUCAAUACUGAUCAUGUACAACCUAGCAGAAGAUCUUUGCUUUGCUGAACCCAAGAAAGACUAAAGUGUCCUCAUGUUUAAAACUGGUCCAACACAAAGCAUCAUUGGUAGUCCCUGGAGAAGAUCUCCCACUCCCACCCAAUUGGGCCAAUGUAGUUUUUUUCCAACAGAUAAAUGAUGGGAUUGGUGGAUGCAGAAUCUACCUCCUGCUGCUUAUGAAUUAGAUGAAAACAAGAAUUUGUUUCCGUUUAUAUUGUCAGUUUUUCCAGGUAAACAUACAGUACCAAUCCAAAAUCAGCCACAUAUGAAGCACAUACAGCACUUGAUUAAAUCUCUGUGUCCCCAACCAACAUGAAAUAAGAUGUUUUUCACUAUUCUCAUAAAAAAACUCAAAGCCUUUGCAGCUUCAUUCAAGCAAAAGAGAGGCUGUGAAUUUUGGGUGUUGGGAGGUGGGGGCAGAAGUGCAAGAAUAACAAAACCUUCAUUUUGAAGCAAUUCAGUUUUAAUUACAAAAGGGAUUCAAAUUUCACAAUAUUUUAGAAGUCAAAAUAAGGGAGAAGCAAGUUUAUCAGUCAAGUCAAACCCAUAUCUUGACUGCUUUUUAGCACAACGAGACCAGGCAAUUUUGUAUGUUAAUUAAAGCAACUGCAGUAGGCAAUAGCCACAUUUUAACUGACCAAGGGGA